rnacentral:misc_RNA from 1 species
GUUGAUAAUGUGACAUGGAAGAAAAUGGUAUAUGCUGAUCGGCUUGUACAGCUGUUCCGACAUGUUCCUCGGGAGCAGUUAACCAUCCCAGACUUUGUUUUCCAGUUAAGUUUUCUGCUUCUUUCACUAUUCUAUGUUUAUUUAGCAAUUACUAUUGGUAGAAAGCAUCUUUUGGCCCCUAAGCUUUGUACAAAUGGUCGCUUAGCACUCUCACCUUUAGGGUCUGUUUGGAUGAGCUGAGGAAAUAGUAAGUAAAGGAAGGGUAAGAAAGGGGAAAGGAUAAGGAGGGUUAUAACAAAAAAAAAAAAAUCAUGUUCAAGAAGGGGUGAAUUAAUGGAAAGAUAAAUAGAGGUAAUAUAUAUUCUUUAUAUUUGAGAGAAGGAGAAAGAAGGGUAAAUUUAAGGAGUGUCAAAACAAAAGUAGUUAUUGCUCUCACCUCUCCUUCCCUACUCCUUCUUAUACCAUAAUUUGGGAUGUAAGAAAAAUUGAGGUUUGAAGGUAAAGAAGGGUAAGGCUUAACCUUACCCUUAAUUAAUUUUCCCCUUUUCAAACAAGGAAACAUAACUCACUCACCCUUUCUUCACCCUCAUCGAAACAUGCCCUUAGUUGCGUCCUCUUUGAUAUCCAAACUUUAUAAAAGCGUAACUAUUAAAGUCAUAAACUUAUAAAAGUAUUAAAUCCCUGAACUUUAUAAAAGUUUAACGGAAAGUCAGAGUGCGCGCGAGUCACUUCUACAUGUUCACCAAUGGAAUGGGUAAAAUAGUUAUACUUUUAUAAAGUUUAGAUGUCAAAUCGGAUACAGCUAAAAGUGGGUGUCAAGUAACUUUUCAAAGUCUGGUCAAAAGAUGCUUUCAGUAAUUGUUAUUUCAUCAUUAAAUACAAUGCUAGUACUUAGCUUCUGCUUGGGGUCCCUUGUUGCAUCCCUUGGUCCCCGGUGAUGAAAAUGGCAGUGAAAAUAAGAAGAUUCUAACACUCUGUGGAUAUAAUUAAUGCAGGCAUGAUUUAGAAGUAAAUGGUGG